GUUUUUGAAGCAGUAUUUCUAGGCCUUUGUAAAUAGAUGAACAAGCUUCCAUUUUUGUGAGCAGCUUUGAUGACACAGUAUUAGCAUACAGAAGUAUUUUCAUUUACAUUUCCUCAAGGCUUCUCUUGAUAGCUUCUUCUAAUUCUGCAUCAUCCUCUUCUUGUUUCUUUGUUUCUUCCAAACUCCUUUUUAUUGUUAGUUUGGUAUCG
rnacentral:lncRNA from 1 species